GCGUAACCAACCUCGCCCCAUGCUCCAGAAUAGCUCUUGGAAACGGGUGGUAAUGCUGGAUGCUCCAACUUGACGCAUGUCUUGUUGGGAAAGUGUUUAGUGGCAUGGGAUGGGGUCGCGUCCUAUCAGCUUGUAGGCGGGGUAAUGGCCCACCUAGGCUUCGACGGGUAGCCGGCCUGAGAGGGCGGACGGCCACAUUGGGACUGAGAUACGGCCCAGACUCCUACGGGAGGCAGCAGC
rnacentral:rRNA from 1 species